UACGGGGGGGGCAGCGUUGUUCGGAAUUACUGGGCGUAAAGGGUCUGUAGGUGGCUUGCUAAGUCAGACGUGAAAUCCCUCAGCUUAACUGGGGAACUGCCUUUGAAACUGCUUGGCUUGAGGGCCGGGAGAGGGUAGCGGGAAUUCCCAGUGUAGCGGUGAAAUGCGUAGAUAUUGGGAGGAACACCAGUGGCGAAGGCGGCUACCUGGACCGGUUCUGACGCUGAGGCGGCGAAAGCGUGGGGAGCAAACAG
rnacentral:rRNA from 1 species